CACGUCUAACGCUGGCCAAGCAUCUCUGCGGCAGGUAGAUGCGGUGCGGCAGCCGGACCGCUGUCCGCGGUUCUGAAAGGUCGCAAACGCCAGCGCGAGCCCUGGUGGGUAUUGCUGUGCUGUCCAGGGUGCUGAGUGCAUGCCUCCGCAGUCCUCCAGGGGAGCCCACCCGCGCCAGCCCUCCGCAGAGCCCUCCCACCCAGCACGACCUGCCCGCCUCCCGCCAGCCUGCAGUUGACGUGGAGCAGGCGGCAUAAAUCAAGUCCGUGGGGCAUGGAGGCUGCUGUCGCUGCCGCAGCUCAGCUUGCCCGGGGCGGGAACUCCCCCCUUCUGCUUUCGGCUCCUCAGCGCCCACACCCUGCCGGCUCCUUAAUUCUCCCUUGGAUAAUAGCGCCCUAACGACAACAGUCAUAAUAAUAGCAGUAGAACGACAGGAUGGCUUUUUUUGUUUUGUCUUGUUUGGGGGUCUACAGAAAACAACAACAACAAUAAACCUAACAACCUAAACAUCUCUGAAAACUGCAUCGCAAGAUGGAAGAGAGAGGGGGGUCCCACUACUGUUUCAAAAGAAUUCCUGGCCACCAUGAGGCCAGCUUUGCUUUUCCACAUGCUCCCCAUUAUGAUGUUCUGUUUCACUGCAAGUCCACAGCAAUGGGGUCAAGCAACUAUGGACUGAAACCUCUGAAACUAACUUCCUGAAAAAUUACUGUUAAAGGAAUACGGUAAGAACCUGGCAGGAGCCCAGUUUAUAGUCAGCAGCUUUAACCCAAGAAAGAGAAGAGUAAAUACCAAACCCAAGGUAUUCCUGCUUCAAAAGCCUUUUUCAGAGAUGCCAGGUCCCCGGCCUUGGUGACAAAAUUAAUAUUUGAAAAUACUUUCCCUGGAUCAUCAAUGUACCAAGAAGAAUCAUCCUGAAUGGGAUGUUCGGGAGGGUGAUCUUGAUUAAACCGGCUGCAAUCAGUUACAUUCUGAAUUGGGCAUUUGUGAUCCCUGGUUAGAGGAGAAAAUGAAGAUGAAAUAUAUCAAGAUCUCAUUGAGGACCCUGGGAACACACCUUACAUUGUUCUUACUAAUUAGAUCUAGCCUCUGCCUUCUCUGGAGCUGGAGCUGCUGGGAUUACAGGACUGUGCCAUCAUGUGCAGCUGGGUUGUGAGUUUGGGGAAGUAUUCAGUUCGUUUCAUUCCCCGCACAGGAAUGGUAUACUGUAAGAAGUUAAAUGCAGGGACCAUACCUGGCUCACUCAUCUAUGUCUGUCUGUCUCUCUCUCUCUCUACCACACAAGGGAUGAAUAAAUGACCAAAUGCCACACAGAUCAAUAUAAUAAUUUUAUUUUGCUCACAGCAGUACCAGAGUAUUUAAGAAGAGUCUGAUUUUUUUUUUUUUUGCCUAUCACAGAAAUGUUCUGUACAUGCUAAGCUAACCCAAGCACAUCUCAGUCACUUGCUUAUACCACCCUCAC